rnacentral:rRNA from 1 species
AUCUAUGGCUGUGUACUCUGAACAUAUUUGAUCUCAUCUGAUUUCAGAAGCUAAGCAGAGUCUGGACUGCUUAGUACUUGGAUGGGAGAUGGAAUUAGAAGCACCAGAGGGA